UCGUUAAUUUUGCAUUCAAAGAAAAUAUGGUUCAAAUCUCUAAUCGAAACAUUAUCACAAAAACAGACUGAUGAAUUAACUAUUCCUAAUUUGUGCAGAUGUGCCUCAUAUUUUCCGUGUCGAGUUUUUAAUCUGACGAUAGUAGAAAUAUCUUGCUUUGGCAGGUUAUACUUAAAUAUGUAUUCAGGUGGCGGAGGAAGUUCUUGAUGUAAAGAAAAAUAUAAAUUUUUUGAUAUGCUUCCCUAACAACACACAACAUUCCAGGAAUGUACUACCAAAGUUCUAUCAAUAUUUGAAUGUCCUGGACAUUUAGGGAACAUUCGGUGAACAUCUGAUUAAAUUAUUCGUGGAAUGUUACCAUAAGACAUUCUGUGAACAUACUACCAAUGUUCCUUUUGUUAAUAUGUUCAUUUUCAAACUCACGGCGCAUGUAUUUGUGCAUGGUGCUUAGAGAGGGCAUCACGUGACUAAAAACGACCAAUGACCUCACUUCAGACUUCGGUGCUUCGGCCAUCUUGACAUGCAUCUUGGCCUUGGCCACCUUGCCGUGCGUGAUCGUUGUUUGUUUUUAUUUGUGCUUUUUAAGAAUAUUUUUUAAUUCGGAUACUUUUAUAAUAACUUUAAUAGUAUUAUUAAUAUAGUGCAUAAAAUCAGUUGGAGUAGCAGAAGCAAUGUAGAUAAAAAAUCUGCAGGAAUAAUGUUUCAAAGGUUAGUAUAUGCAAAUAUGUAAACAAAGGCAUGCCCCUAUUUCAGAAAAUAUCCAUUUAUUAUUUUAAUAAUUGCGAAUAAGCCACAAACUUGCUUAUUCCUAACAAAAAUAGUAAAUAGAGAUAAUAACAAACGGAUUAUUUGUAAAAUUAAAAUUUUUUUUGCGUUUUUGCUAAUGUAUGCGUUUAUAAACAGGAUGGUAGACCACACACUAUAAUAGUACCAACUAAUGAAUACACAGUAUGAAUAGUACAGUCGGUUCGCUAAACUUAGUCUCAGACACAACUGGCUAGUGAUUUUAGUAAAUAAUUUUGACAAUUUGGUAAAAUUGGCAAAAAAAUAACUAAAUAGUUAGUAAUUUUGGCAAAAAUGGCCAAAAACAAAAAAAUUACCUACUAAAAUCACUAGCCAGUUGUGGCUAGGGAAACGACUAUACUAAUAAACAAUUUCUAAGCUGCUUUUUAUAAUAUUUUGUGAGUUCAUUAAUCAUAUUUUUUAUUUAAAACUAAAAUUUGUUAAUAAUGCUCAGUAAUGCAUAUAUUUUGUAUUUUUAGCUUUCCAGAAGAUCCUGCGAAGAAGGCAUGAAGUAUUGAUCAGAUUUGUUAAUAGAGCAGUAUGUUCAAAACAUUUUUUAGAAAAAGAUAUUGACAGAACUUCACUUUCAACCGUGAACUUCACUUUCAACCGUUUGAGAGACUGUGCUGUUCCAAUAGCUUAUAUCACACAGAAUCAGCUGAGAGAAGUGGUCUACAAAAAACCAGGAAGGAAAUGGAAUAUGUGGCUAUGAAAGGCAAAAGAAAGGUUUACAAAGCAAAUGUGACACAUUUUUUAUAGGAAUAUCAGUAAAUUACAUUAAAAAAAUGUAUGAAAAAAUUUUUUGCAAUAAAAAUGUUUAUAUUUA